rnacentral:tRNA from 1 species
GGAGGGUUGACCGAGUGGCCGAAGGUGACGGUCUUGAAAACCGUUGUGCGGGCAACCGUACCAAGGGUUCGAAUCCCUUACCCUCCG